rnacentral:lncRNA from 1 species
AGAUGAAAUGCGAUAGUGUAAUCAGUAAUCCUUGACAGUGAUGACAAGGAUGUGUGUUCUGCCUGGGAUAAUUUCCAUGAAUUCAAGGGCUGUCAUUGAGUUUGGCCUGGGCAUGACAGCUUCUUCUUGAGGAAGCCAUCGUGUACCCUGAUAUCACCAUUUUCUCUUCCAAGAAACAGCUGAUAUAUUGAACAGAGAUGACUUGUGGAAUAUAGUCAAGAAGUAGCUUAAAUGUUCUCUCCCUCUAUCCUUUUAAAUGUAGUUUGUAAGUUUAGCCUUUUCAUUUCUUUGUGAAAAGUUAGGCAGAUUCCAUGAUGUUUCUGGUCACUGUUGAGUAAUACAGUUUUCUUGUUACUUCAGGUCACAGAAAACUGCCCCAGUUUAGUAAUUUAACUGUCAGAAGCAUGUGUUUGUAAAAACUUUGAUCUUGUGUUAAAGUUGAAGUUUUUUUCCUUUCUGGCAGCUUGAGUCUGCUGUGAGUGGGAAGCCAGAAGUUGAAGUAGGGGUGGAAGAGAUUUAUUACCUAGUCUAAUACUACUUCUACUCCUUCUCCAAUUCACCGGCAGAGUUUUCUGGCUCUUCAAGGAUUGGUGCCAGGAAGGAAGAAGUAAGAAAGGCAGCAAAGAUGUUACUUCACAGCUCCUUGUGAGGUGAUCUAGCAUUUUGGCAGUUGUUUACAGCUGACAACUUGACAGAUGGUCACAGCAGACUCUUUUGUGGGGGCUUUUGUGAAUUUUCUGUAGUUCUCUGUAAGAUCUCAAGCAGGGGUCAGCUUGCUCUUUGCAGUAUGAUCAGUAAAUGUGUCUUCUCUGAAGCAAAUGAUCCCCCUUCUCACUUUGUGGCAUAUCCUAUGAAUUCUAUCCAGUGCCUGAUGAAUGUGUGAUAAUCAAUUGAUGACAGAUAAAGAAACACUGCCAUAAACUGAGUUGGUUAAUCAAUAUAAUGAAAGAGUUUAUACUGAUAGGAUGUAUGGGAUAGAAGAAAGCACACAUCAACACAAUGAUAAAUAAUAUUGAUAUUGCAAGUAGACAGGAAUAGUAAUGAUGGAAUUGAAGUCAUCUGCAAGGGGCUGGUGAUCUGAUUUUCAGCCCAGACCUCCAUGUGGUCUUUGUCACACUGGUGGCAGGAGUCAGAUGGUCUCUUGCAGAAAGAACUGUGAGAGAGUCACCUGUCACAGGCCCUUGCUUUCACUUCUGCACAGUUUCAG